rfam:Lepisosteus oculatus linkage group LG3, whole genome shotgun sequence.
UACAGCAGCCAUAUCAGCCUGCAAUUCACAACUGGCAACCCACUGAAGCUAAGCAGGUGUGAGCCUGGUACGUACCUGGAUGGGAGACCUCCUGGGAAAAACAAAAGUUGCUGCUGGAA